rnacentral:rRNA from 1 species
CAAGGAAUUUUCCGCAAUGGGCGAAAGCCUGACGGAGCAACGCCGCGUGCAGGAUGACGCAUUUCGGUGUGUAAACUGCUGUUCGGGGGGACGAAGCACUGACGGUACCCCCGGAGGAAGGCCCGGCUAACUACGUGCCAGCAGCCGCGGUAAUACGUAGGGGCCAAGCGUUGUCCGGAGUUACUGGGCGUAAAGCGUGCGCAGGCGGCUCGUUGCGCCCGACGUGAAAGCCCCCGGCUCAACCGGGGAGGGUCGUCGGGGACGGGCGAGCUUGAGGGUGUCAGGGGCUGGUGGAACUCCCGGUGUAGUGGUGAAAUGCGUAGAGAUCGGGAAGAACACCCGUGGCGAAGGCGGCCAGCUGGGACACACCUGACGCGGAGGCACGAAGGCGUGGGGAGCGAACGGG